GUUCGACUUCGAACCUAUUUCAAACCCUUCUACGUACGUAAUCGUUACAGACGAUUAGUUACAACGGAUUUAUUGACUUCGAUCGAUUCUUCGAUUAUGUUCAGCUGCUGAGCGAUGUUAUUGCGAAACGGCCGAAGUAGGUGUACUUUCACGGGAAAUGCAUCUGUCAAACUCUCUGGUUAUUCUUCCGACUCGCCAAUGGAAUCUGCACGUUAAUUAGAAAGUGACUCUUCCAGAACGCAUUGCCCACUCUUAUUUAAAAUAGACAUUGCUACGAUCAUCCGAACUGGAUUCGUCGCCCGACAAGGAAACAGCGUGUGUCAGUUUCCCGAUAUGUAAAUGAAAAAAAUAAUUCGAGAUCGCGUCAUCUCGGUAAAUAAAUUCUGACUCACCCUGCCG